AUCAAAACGAGAAUUGGGAUAGCCCUUACUCUCACGUGAACGCGCAAAACUAAGGGGAAGGGGGAAGGGGAAGGGGUAAGACAGAGAAAUGGGAUUCACCCUUAAUCUUCACAAUUUUAGCACUGCCAUCUUGACAACACUAUCACAGCCAACAGGGAAUGUUCUCAAAACUUUAGCUAGAGAGGAACAUUGAAGUUGAAACACCAUUAUGUUGGGCUUUCGAUGCUGGUGUUUUACACCUAAUUUAACCAGCAAGCCUCUUUUGUCACUGUCAUCUCUAAACUGACAUUUUUUACAGGAAUCUUUGAGAAAUGGAAUCUUUCACAAUCCACGAUGAUGUUUGUUUGAUUGUUUGGUUAACAAACCUUUGUGGUUAGAAAGGUGGUUCAAAUCCAGCAAAGGUUUAUCCAUGUAAUAUCAUUGUGUCCUUGAUCAAACUAUGAACCUCAGGAACUGAACUUGCAAGAACUGCACUGAAAGACACUGUGGAGAGAAGCAGCUACAAAAGCCAAAUGUGUGUUUAUGUAAUGUAUUUUUAUAUUAUGAUUGUUACUGGCUGCUGCUGCACAAGCUGUUUACUGGUGUUAAUCAUCUGAAUCAUGUUUUAGUCACAUUUCACAAACAUGUUUGUGUUAUUUAAUAUAGAUUUAAGAUGUUUGUUACUUCCACUGAAUGUCAUAAUUGUUGGAAUGUGCUGAAGUUACUGUUUUUUUUUUUUUUGUACUUGUACUUGUAAUUUUUUGUACUGUUUUAACAAAAGUGUUAAGUGUCACAUUCUGCCAUUUGAGAUGUUGAUUAGGUUUUUUACUGCCAAGUCCGUGCAUUUCACAUGAGGAGGAAUACGGAGACCUGGGGGGUGUUUAAGAACGUCAUCAGUGUGUGAUGGAAAUUAUCUCCUACACUUGAACAAGAAUAGAUUGUCAGAGCUGUUUCCAGAGUCAUCCGUGCAGAGAGCUCCUUAACUGCCUCCUGACCACUGAAGUGUGUGGUUUUUACAACAGCAAUAGGAUUUAGAAAUGUCAUCAUAGUGCCUAUUUUUGUAAUGGACAUUUUAUAAGAAAAGAAAAAAAAAAUCUGUAUCAGAGCUGUAGUACUGUAAUAGGCCAAACUCCUCAAAAGCCUGUAACACAAACUGUGUAAGAGACACAAGAUGUGUUUCGAGAAGAAUAGCUUGACUUUUUAGUGUGUUUGUCUUUUUUUAAUAUGAACUUUGAAAUAUUUUGUACUACUUGACAUCAGCAGCUUUAUGUCACUGGAAAACAAAUAAAUAAAUUAACAACA